GGUGCAUUUUUGAGAGCU
rnacentral:siRNA from 1 species